GACGAACGCUGACGGUGUGCUUUAGACAUGCAAGUCGAACGAGAAAGCCCUUCGGGUGAGUACAGUGGCGAGCGGGUGAGUAACACGUGGGCAACCUGCCCCUCGCAGGGGGACAACCGGAGGAAACUCCGGCUAAUACCCCGUAAGCUUGUUGGGUCGCAUGACCCUUCAAGGAAAGGUAGCUUCGGCCAUCCGGCGAGGGAUGGGCCCGCGGUACAUUAGCUAGUUGGUGGGGUAACGGCCCACCAAGGCGACGAUGUAUAGCUGGUCUGAGAGGAUGAUCAGCCACACUGGGACUGAGACACGGCCCAGACUCCUACGGGAGGCAGCAGGUCGGGAAUCUUGCGCAAUGGGCGAAAGCCUGACGC
rnacentral:rRNA from 1 species